GGCCCUCCUUGUCAACUGAAUCCUAGAACAAGUCAUGAACUACAACACUUACUUCCAACAAUGACGAGAUGCUUGUGGAAAUCUUGGUUUGUUCACCCAUCAAAAGUUAACAGUCGCUUUAUGUAUGGUUGCAUAUGGAACACCUGCCGAUCAAAUAGAUGAAAACCUAAGAAUUACUGAAACCACAUCCACUAAGAAUUUGAAGAGAUUCACCCAUACAAUCCAUGCAAUAUGC
rnacentral:lncRNA from 1 species